ensembl:lncRNA
AUGGCCUGGAUUCUGGUCACCCAUGGAGAGAGCCUCCCAGCAUACAGGGCACUACAGGGAGCUGCGUGCAUGUGCUGUGUGUGCCUGUGUGUGCUGUGUGUGUCUCUGUGCCUGUGUGUGCUGUGUGCCUGUGCGUGCCUGUGUGUGCUGUGUGCCUGUGUGUGCUGUGUGUGUCUCUGUGCCUAUGUGUGCUGUGUGCCUGUGUGUGCCUGUGUGUGCUGUGUGCCUGUGUGUGCUGUGUGUGUGCUGUAUGUGCCUGUGUGUGCUGUGUGCCUGUAUGUGCCUGUGUGUGCUGUGUGCCUGUGUGUGCCUGUGUGUGCUGUGUGCCUGUGUGUGCUGUGUGCCUGUGUGUGCUGUGUGUGCCUGUGUGUGCUGUGUGCCUGUGUGUGCUGUGUGUGCCUGUGUGCCUGUGUGUGCUGCGUGCCUGUGUGUGCUGUGUGUGCCUGUGUGCCUGUGUGUGCUGCGUGCCUGUGUGUGCUGUGUGUGCCUGUGUGCCUGUGUGUGCUGUGUGCCUGUGGGUGCUGUGUGUGUCUCUGUGCCUGGGUGUGCUGUGUGCCUGUGUGUGCUGUGUGCCUGUGUGUGCCUGUGUGUGCUGUGUGUGCCUGUGUGUGCUGUGUGUGCUGUGUGCCUAUGUGUGCCUGUGUGUGCUGUGUGUGCUGUGUGCCUGUGUGUGCUGUGUGCCUGUGUGUGCCUGUGUGUGCCUGUGUGUGCUGUGUGCCUGUGUGUGCUGUGUGUGCCUGUGUGUGCCUGUGUGUGCUGUGUGCCUGUGUGUGCUGUGUGUGCCUGUGUGUGCUGUGUGUGCUGUGUGCCUGUGUGUGCCUGUGUGUGCUGUGUGUGCUGUGUGCCUGUGUGUGCUGUGUGCCUGUGUGUGCUGUGUGUGCUGUGUGCCUGUGUGUGCCUGUGUGUGCUGUGUGCCUGUGUGUGCCUGUGUGUGCUGUGUGCCUGUAUGUGCCUGUGUGUGCUGUGUGCCUGUGUGCCUGUGUGUGCUGUGUGCCUGUGUGUGCCUGUGUGUGCUGUGUGCCUGUGUGUGCCUGUGUGUGCUGUGUGCCUGUGUGUGCCUGUGUGUGCUGUGUGCCUGUGUGCCUGUGUGUGCUGUGUGCCUGUGUGUGCUGUGUGUGCUGUGUGCCUGUGUGUGCCUGUGUGUGCUGUGUGCCUGUGUGUGCCUGUGUGUGCUGUGUGCCUGUGUGUGCUGUGUGUGCUGUGUGCCUGUGUGCCUUUGUGUGCUGUGUGCCUGUGUGUGCUGUGUGUGCUGUGUGCCUGUGUGUGCUGUGUGUGCCUGUGUCCUGUGUGUGCCUGUGUGCUGUGUGUGCUGUGUGGACACAUGUACUCUGUGUGUGGUGUUGGUGUCCUGUGCACAGGGUUGCUGGCCUCAUGUGUGCGUGCUGUGUGCUCAGUGGAGCCAUAGCACCGGCAUGCACGAGGGCAUGGCCAGAGCAGCCCUCCAGCUUCCUUUUCCCCCGUAUGUUGCCCCACCCUGGGCCUGGCCCAGCCUGGGCAACAGUGGAGAGGGAGGGCCACCAAGACGUGUGGGCGGCUCCUUUGGCCCCAAGGAAGCGAGCUAUGGGCUGGGGACCCCGUGGGGGAGGAGCCACCCCUGCCCACCCGAAACAGGAAGAUCUGGGCAGAUUCCCCACCCACCUUCCUAGCCCCUCCUUCAGGCGGGGGCGGGGGCGUCCUCCGAGGGAGGAGGAGGCAACACCGGUGCUGUGCAGGGAGAGCCAAUUCCUAGGGCUGCCCUCAGGGUCACAGGGCCUGGUCUCUGCUGGCCCCUCCACAGCCUGCCCUCCCUUGGAGGGUGGUGGCAGACAUGAAAACCCACUGGGAGCCGGCAACACUCAACCCAGGAUCCCUCGAUCUCUGGUGAAGGGAGGGGAACCAGGGACUCCGCUGUGA